rnacentral:lncRNA from 1 species
AGAUAGUUGUAUGCCCUGUAUACGCUGGUUUAGUGUAAGGCAACAAACACUGUCGACGGAUGAUGACGUCAUAGAUGCAUGUACUGCGCAUGUGCGAGCCGGUAAACUAAGGAAAUAAAGCAUGGCGACUGCGACUGAGACUCGGGUGGAUUAUUAGUGUUAAUAUGAAAGAGAAACACUACAAUGGCGACGAGGAUGGGUGUAGCUUGUGCUGAACACCAAGACAAAGUUUCAAGACGGAAAUAAAGAUCCCGAAAGAAAGAUAAAAGUACUGGACUUUAAGGAGUGCAUCAGAAAGUCAUCAUUUCACCAGAAAAGAGGUGUACGUAGGUGAGUUUUGUAGUGUAUGCUAUCGUAAUAUAUUCAUCCUGAAUUCGUUUUUUAUAUGGUAUGAAAAUCGAGAAGGCGUAAAGAAACCAGUCGGUCAAAGCCAAGCUCAUGGGCACAACCUAUGCUCCUCAUCCCCAGGAAAUUUUCGGCGCCAUAAGAUGGCCAGCCCUACUUAUGGAAUCACAGGUGUUUGCUGAAAAUAACCAAAUAACCUCUUCACCUUGUUCAGAGAGAAGUCCACCGAAAUGUGUCAGGAUAGCUGAGGAGCUGGCCAGAUUGAUUAAGAUUUAUGAUCUCCAGUGGUUGGAACUGCCGAAAACCAACGAAUCGGUGCUCGCUGCUGAUGCACGCGCUCAGCCGCCAGAGGGUCCACCGCCCACCGAGGCGGCCGCUCUGCUUCCAGCGGACGAGAGGGUCUGCUGCUGCGACGGCAGUUUCCAGAUGGUCCAGACCUCUCAGACACUGUUGUGGCUCUCCUAUCAGCCGUCUUGGGUGAUACUCCUGAUGCUGCCAUCUUCUGCCCUGAGAGCAUCUUUAUCAUCGUGGAGAAUGAAACACUCGUCAGUUGUCCCACAAAUCUGGCUGACUCUCUUACUUUUUGGGUAUGUCUAUGCUCUGGACCUACAGUACCCCCAAAAAAUGGAGCUUGCAAUGACAUUUAUUCAGAAAGUGGUGAUGUGCCUUGAGGACAACAAACCACUGAAAGGGACCCAUGUGUAUAUAUAUAUAUAUAUAUAUAUAUAUAUAAUAUACAAUCUUGUGUUUUAUUUCAAACAAGCACUUUAUUUUGACUGAGCUCUUAAAAUGU